rnacentral:rRNA from 1 species
AGUGAACGCUGGCGGUAGGCCCAACACAUGCAAGUCGAACGGCAGCACAGUAAGAGCUUGCUCUUACGGGUGGCGAGUGGCGGACGGGUGAGGAAUACAUCGGAAUCUACUUUUUCGUGGGGGAUAACGUAGGGAAACUUACGCUAAUACCGCAUACGACCUACGGGUGAAAGCAGGGGAUCUUCGGACCUUGCGCGAUUGAAUGAGCCGAUGUCGGAUUAGCUAGUUGGCGGGGUAAAGGACCACCAAGGCGACGAUCCGUAGCUGGUCUGAGAGGAUGAUCAGCCACACUGGAACUGAGACACGGUCCAGACUCCUACGGGAGGCAGCAGUGGGGAAUAUUGGACAAUGGGCGCAAGCCUGAUCCAGCCAUACCGCGUGGGUGAAGAAGGCCUUCGGGUUGUAAAGCCCUUUUGUUGGGAAAGAAAAGCAGCAGGUUAAUACCCCGCUGUUCUGACGGUACCCAAAGAAUAAGCACCGGCUAACUUCGUG